AAUGAACGUUGGCGGCGUGGAUUAGGCAUGCAAGUCGAGCGGAAAGGCCCCGCAAGGGGUACUCGAGCGGCGAAAGGGAUAGUAACACGUAGGUCACCUACCCCUGGGACGGGGAUAGCCGAGGGAAACUUCGAUUAAUACCCGAUAACGUCCUUGGACCAAAGGUGUGAUUCCGCCCGGGGACGGGCCUGCGUCCUAUCAGCUAGUUGGUUAGGUGAUGGCUCACCAAGGCGACGACGGGUAGCGGGUGUGAGAGCACGACCCGCAUCACUGGGACUGGGACACUGCCCAGACACCUACGGGUGGCUGCAGUCGAGAAUCUUCGUCAAUGGGCGAAAGCCUGAACGGGCGACGCCGCGUGCGGGAUGAAGGCCUUCGGGUUGUAAACCACUGUCAGUGGGAAUGAAAUGCUAGGGGGAUCACCCCCUAGCUUGACAGACCCGCAGAGGAAGGACGGGCUAAGUUCGUGCCAGCCGCCGCCGUAACAC
rnacentral:rRNA from 1 species